GUAGGUGAACCUGCGGAAGGAUCAUUGUCGAUACCUGCACAACAGAGAGACCCGCGAACGUGUUUGCCCCAUCGGGAGAUCGGGGGCGAAGGUCGUGGGGGGCCACUCCCCGUCCCUAGUCCCCGCAGGGUCGGUCCGCGGAUCCCCGCGGCCACCGGCCCGAAACACAACCACCGGCGCGGUCCGCGCCAAGGAACCCACUACGGAAUAUCGACUUGCCGUCGCCGUGCCCACGGUGCGGUGCGGUUCGUCAGGAAUCCGAAUCUCACGAACGACUCUCGGCAACGGAUAUCUCGGCUCUCGCAUCGAUGAAGAACGUAGCGAAAUGCGAUACUUGGUGUGAAUUGCAGAAUCCCGUGAACCAUCGAGUCUUUGAACGCAAGUUGCGCCCCAGGCCUUCGGGCCGAGGGCACGCCUGCCUGGGCGUCACGUAUCGCGUCGCCCGCCCCCCACAUCCCCUCGGGGACCGUCGGGGAGUGCGGGCAGGAGAUUGGCCCCCCGUGCCCGCUUUCGCGGAGGCGCGGUCGGCCCAAAGGCAAGUCCCCCCGUGCGGCGAUCGUCACGACGAGUGGUGGUCGAAGCCACCGUGCCAUUAGUUUCGGACGUCGUGUGCGGCCUUCGCUCGCAUCGGGUCGGGCAGAGCGACCCUGAUCGUGUGCUCCGAAAGGGCACUCCGACCGCGACCCCAGGUCAGGCGGGGCUACCCGCUGAG
rnacentral:rRNA from 1 species